GGUAAUCAUUGAUCAAAGUGACAGAUUUGAUAUUCUAAUGAGUUCAAAUGAAAUCAAUGCUACAGUACCAGCACACCAUUCUUGUUCCCAGUGAGAAUGGGGCCACUGUUCUCUUCCCUGUCAAGCUCACACAUUCCUAUCAGAGUCAUUGCUGUCUCACCCACUGCUUCUGAUGCUAUCACCCAGAAGAUUUUAGUAAAGGUGAUUUCCUCCAGUCUCCUGGUAAUGCUCAGUUGUUUCCUCAUCUGCAUGUGAAGACAUAACAGAGUGAAGGUAUAGAAAACUCAUAUUCACAAUCCAUCUUAUUAGACUUGACUGACAGCAAAGAGCAAACUACCACGAAAACUUUGAGUUUCUUGUUUCCUCCUGAUACAAUGCAUGGCAGUGAAAGACUUCAGAUCACUGCAAUAGGUAAGACAGAGUA